rnacentral:rRNA from 1 species
CCUACGGAGGCUGCAGUGGGGAAUAUUGGACAAUGGGCGAAAGCCUGAUCCAGCCAUGCCGCGUGUGUGAAGAAGGCCUUCGGGUUGUAAAGCACUUUCAGUGGGGAAGAAAGCCUUGGGGCUAAUACCCUCGAGGAAGGACAUCACCCACAGAAGAAGCACCGGCUAACUCCGUGCCAGCAGCCGCGGUAAUACGGAGGGUGCGAGCGUUAAUCGGAAUUACUGGGCGUAAAGCGCGCGUAGGCGGUCUGAUAAGCCGGUUGUGAAAGCCCCGGGCUCAACCUGGGAACGGCAUCCGGAACUGUCAGGCUAGAGGGCAGGAGAGGAAGGUAGAAUUCCCGGUGUAGCGGUGAAAUGCGUAGAGAUCGGGAGGAAUACCAGUGGCGAAGGCGGCCUUCUGGACUGACACUGACGCUGAGGUGCGAAAGCGUGGGUAGCAAACAGGAUUAGAUACCCGGGUAGUC